UACGAAGGGGGCUAGCGUUGUUCGGAUUUACUGGGCGUAAAGCGCACGUAGGCGGAUUGUUAAGUCAGGGGUGAAAUCCCGGAGCUCAACUCCGGAACUGCCUUUGAUACUGGCAAUCUUGAGGCUGGAAGAGGUUAGUGGAAUUCCCAGUGUAGAGGUGAAAUUCGUAGAUAUUGGGAAGAACACCAGUGGCGAAGGCGGCUAACUGGUCCAGAUCUGACGCUGAGGUGCGAAAGCGUGGGGAGCAAACAGGG
rnacentral:rRNA from 1 species